rnacentral:rRNA from 1 species
UACGAAGGGGGCUAGCGUUGCUCGGAAUCACUGGGCGUAAAGCGCACGUAGGCGGAUUGCUAAGUCAGGGGUGAAAUCCUGGAGCUCAACUCCAGAACUGCCUUUGAUACUGGCGAUCUUGAGUCCGGGAGAGGUGAGUGGAACUGCGAGUGCAGAGGUGAAAUUCGUAGAUAUUCGCAAGAACACCAGUGGCGAAGGCGGCUCACUGGCCCGGUACUGACGCUGAGGUGCGAAAGCGUGGGGAGCAAACAGG